GUGUAAGAGAGAGAGAAUAGCCAACGAGAGUAUUUGCCACUGCUAGUACGAUAUCUUGAGAAAGGAGAAUCUUCUCUCCAAACACUCACAUGCGAGAGUGUGCAGUACGCGAGUUCUGGAUCUGUUUUACUAGUUAAAUUUCUCUGCCCAUCCCCACAGCGCAUCUUGUUUAGCAUGGUUACUCUUGUACUCUGUCGAGGAUAUAUCCCAUAGAACAGCAAGUUUCCUAUAUUCUUCUAUAAAUUCUAUGGUUUUUUUCUUGCGACUAAUUCAUCUUGAUGCUUUCAACAUCGAAUCCUUCCCCCGGGAGGUGGGAAGGCGUUCAACACAUAGGCAACAGGCUAAAUCUUGUCGCAUGCUUCAGGUUAUACGGCAACAAGUUGCCAUCUGUCGCAUGCCACACAGUUGAAUUGGUGGAAACCACUUGGCGUAUGAGAAUGUAGCAUGCCACAUGUUGCCAAAAUGUUGCUUCGGGGAAUUCCGCCUUAAGAAGAUAAGGUGAGUUAAGCAGGAGUCGAUUUUUCAAUUCUUCCGUGCAUGACGUCACAUACUUCACUCUGCCCGGUCGGCCGCCGGGUCAGUAGUUACGUUCUUCCCCUUAAAUGUGGUGACAAGCAGACGGGAGUUUUCACGCAUUUAUGACGAUUCUUGAGGUUUUUGGAAUUUAAUACGUUAUUGCCACGGUGAUAUGUUCUAUUUACGGAUGCUGUAACACAGAAAGGGACAAUGUUUGAAGUGAAAAGGUUAUCUUUGCCCAUUUCUCUAAGAUCCCGAAAUGUGUAGGAAGUGACUGACAUCUGCAAAGUGACCAUAUACUAACCUAAACGCCAAAACCGCAAGAGUGAGUUAGGUUCAUUUUUUAACAAAACGAUUAUGGAAGAAACCUCAGGCCUGAAAUGUUUAAUCACUGCCCUGCAAAUGCGAGGAAAUGAAAAGAUGAUGCCAUCACGAACCAACGUUUGUCUGUGCAUGAUACUAGUGCCACUGUUGAUUCAGAUUACGCCAUAAGAGAUCCUGCUUCUGAGUUGCAGAAUGCCCCUGGAACAAAAGGUCCAAUUCGCCUCGCCGUUUUCUUUCUCUUCAAAGACUUGUGCCCUUCGUGAGUGGAGGGGAACUACCAGGUUUACGCGCUCGGUCCCAAAACAAACGAAAGGAGAGGCGAAGUUCUUCACGGUGACCUCAUUGUCGCAACAGAGCCUGACCCUGCAUCACGUGACCCACUGCCGGAGACGUUCACAUGACCCCCGGGAUCGGGAAUGCCUCGCUAGUACGAGUUGCCUGCUGUCUAGGCCAAUGAGAACGUCGCUUUGUCUUCUAUGCAGAUGUCGAUUGGGUCUCCGUCAGCGAAAGUUAAUGCCAAGUAAGUUCCCGUGACCUCAGCAUACCAGAGGGGGCGAAAAUAUUCAUUGCGUCACUGAGUUAGUAGCCAAUCACAUUAGCCGGUUCUUCUUGCGUCAAUGCGAUUGGCCGAAGAGGGCAAUAACACAAGAAACCCUUCAAGUGGAAAGGCUUAUCAAAAUGCUCUUCAUACUUCCAACAAAAACGAAACAAAUUGAAUAUUUCAAUCAUUUGUGACAUAAUGACAAGUUACAAGGAAGACGAGCUGUAUACAAAGUGCUCCGACCAAGUUCCUUCAAACUUUAAAGAAAAUCUUCGUUCUCGAAUAUCAUCCUCACUUUUAUGUCACGGGAAAAUGCUAAAAAUCCGACAUAGCAUUACUAUAUAGAAAGUACUGUGAAAAUAAUGACGACUCUAUAGUUUAUAUAACACUUGUAA